rnacentral:rRNA from 1 species
UACGUAGGUGACAAGCGUUGUCCGGAUUUACUGGGCGUAAAGGGCGCGUAGGCGGCCAGCGCAAGUCAGUUGUGAAAUCUCCGGGCUUAACUCGGAAAGGUCAACUGAUACUGCGCGGCUAGAGUGCAGAAGGGGCAACUGGAAUUCUCGGUGUAGCGGUGAAAUGCGUAGAUAUCGAGAGGAACACCUGCGGCGAAGGCGGGUUGCUGGGCUGACACUGACGCUGAUGCGCGAAAGCCAGGGGAGCGAACGGG